AACACUUCUUUGUGUUUUGUCUAACUGGUGGACAAAGGCAUGGAAGAGGAGUGUUAGCCUAAACCUCCGUUUGUAUCCCAGAAUUUAUUGUUCAGCAUGAAUUUUCUGUUUUUAAGAUUGAUUUUU